UGUUCCGGGAGUGCAGCGGCACUUAGAAAUGCUUGAUUGGACUUGAUGUUAGUUUCCUCCAGGAUCACAAUGACUCUUAAUGAGAGACUUGUUGCUCUUGUAGGGAUUCCGAGGCCCAGUCUCUCCCGGGCGUUACGAGUGCAACUCCGACCCCGAGAACGACAAUAUCAAAAAGGUGGAGGAGAGAGAAGAGCGCGCUCUACUGGGCCUUAAACAAUACUUGCAAUGGGAUGCUGCUGAACCAGGUCAGAUCUGAUGAUUG